UUGCGCGCCGCAGCCGCGGGGAGACAUACACCGGCCCGCCGGGCCCGGCUCAGCGUCGGCGCAGCAGGCUACGCACGGCUCCGCCACCGCCCGGGGCCCUCGCACUGCGCCACGCUUCGCUCCAAGUUACUUUGGCGGCCGGUGGGAAACUGCAGGAGAAGGGCGACGUGCUGAUAGAGGGCUUCGCGCUUGUGGUCCCGGGAGUCUGAGAACCCCUUUCCUCAGCCUCCUCUGUGCCUUAGCGGGGCGACCCCCAGAAAUCUCAGAGGAGUCGUCCCCCAGCAGAGUCGGAACGCGGCGGUAGCGGAAGAGGGCACCCCGGGGGCUGGCCGAGCCUCGGGGAUUUCUCGCGCGUGCUUUCCUUGGCUGGGUGUGGGUGCACCACAGUGAAUGAAGAGCAGAGGUUAAGACCAGCCGGCCUGGCAGAGCUGGGAUUCCUAAACCUGCAAGACGACGCCAACCCAACUGUUCGGCUGGAGAGCGGGAGGGGAAACAAUCACUUUCAAAUGGAUCCCUCCAACUCCUGGAUGGGCCGAUGUCAGUCUCCGAUCGCCUUCCGAGAGGGAGACUGAGCCCCCACACGCGGUGCCAAGAGCCCGGGGUGAGCUCUCAGAAGUGUCCCUGCGACUCCAGCGGGUCCAAGCCUAGCAACUUGUAGAGAUGCAUCAAUCAGUUUGAAAUGGGAAAAGAGGAAAAAAAAAAAGCGCACGAGCGAGUGGCACCUCCCCGAUGACUACAUCAGAAAACCUUCCCGAUCCUCCCGCAGCUGCUCCUCUUUCCCUCCUUAGGCACAGCAGCAACAGAGGUGAAAACCACAAACCGAAUCCUAAAACCCCUACCCAGGCGGGAAAAUAAAUAAACUUGAGUGCAGCAGCAGCAGCACGAGCAGCCCAGGAGGAAUUGAAACGACUGGCAAGAAGUGGAAAGGGUUUUGUAAAAGUCAGU
rnacentral:lncRNA from 1 species